UACGUAGGGAGCAAGCGUUGUCCGGAUUUAUUGGGCGUAAAGCGCGUGUAGGCGGCCAGGUAGGUCCGCUGUGAAAACCCGAGGCUCAACCUCGGGACGUCGGCGGAAACCACCUGGCUAGAGUCCGGAAGAGGAGAGUGGAAUUCCCGGUGUAGCGGUGAAAUGCGCAGAUAUCGGGAAGAACACCCGUGGCGAAGGCGGCUCUCUGGGACGGUACUGACGCUGAGACGCGAAAGCGUGGGGAGCGAACAGGAUUAGAUACCCUGGUAGUCCACGCCGUAAACGAUGGGUGCUAGGUGUAGGCGGUGUCGACUCCGUCUGUGCCGAAGUUAACGCAUUAAGCACCCCGCCUGGGGAGUACGGCCGCAAGGCUAAA
rnacentral:rRNA from 1 species